CUUCUUCCCAAAGAAGUGGAAAGGCCACGACGAGCAUUUUGACUUACUAUGUUAAUGGUAUCUGCUGAAACUUGUUCAAAGAGCUUUUAUGUCAGUGUAUAUAUCAUCGCUGGAGAACAGCAAUGUGGUGUAGGAGCACAGAACCCCUGUGAGGGUCAGCCUGCCCGGCCCUGCUUGAAGCAGAGCAACUACAGCCAACAGGAGGUUGGAUCGUUCACUGCUUUGUCUAGUAGUCUGUGUGUAGCAUGCAGAGCAAUAAAACAUUUGUUUUUGAAGCA